AGUGAACGCUGGCGGUAGGCCUAACACAUGCAAGUCGAACGGCAGCACAGUAAGAGCUUGCUCUUACGGGUGGCGAGUGGCGGACGGGUGAGGAAUACAUCGGAAUCUACUUUUUCGGGGGGGAUAACGUAGGGAAACUUACGCUAAUACCGCAUACGACCUACGGGUGAAAGCAGUGGAGCUUCGGACCUUGCGCGAUUGAAUUAGCCGAUGUCGGAUUAGCUAGUUGGCGGGGUAAAGGCCCACCAAGGCGACGAUCCGUAGCUGGUCUGAGAGGAUGAUCAGCCACACUGGAACUGAGACACGGUCCAGACUCCUACGGGAGGCAGCAGUGGGGAAUAUUGGACAAUGGGCGAAAGCCUGACCCAGCCAUACCGCGUGAGUGAAGAAGGCCUUCGGGUUGUAAAGCCCUUUUGUUGGGAAAGAACAGCAGCAGGUUAAUCCCCCGCUGUUCUGACGGUACCCAAAGAAUAAGCACCGGCUAACUUCGUG
rnacentral:rRNA from 1 species